CAUAUUCUACCAAAGGCUAGUGAUAAUGCGUCUCAUGAUGCUGAGCAGCGGCAGUGAGCCACAGCCCCAAGUCAGCCAUGUGAUCACAAGGAGUCAGUGGUGGCAUAACAUAAGAGCCUAGCCCCUGAAGCCAGAAUGCCUGGGUUCACAUCGCAGAUUUUUAACAAGUACAACUUGAUGUUUCUACACCUCUGUCUUCAGCUAUAAAAUGGGAAUGAUGUUAAUAGUACCUACCUCAAAAUGCUGUCAUGAGGAUUAAAUGAGUUGAUAUGUCUACAAGU